rnacentral:rRNA from 1 species
GUGAGGAAUAUUGGUCAAUGGGCGAGAGCCUGAACCAGCCAAGUCGCGUGAAGGAAGACGGCCCUACGGGUUGUAAACUUCUUUUGCAAUGGAAUAAAAAGAGUUACGUGUAAUUCAUUGUAUGUACAUUGCGAAUAAGGAUCGGCUAACUCCGUGCCAGCAGCCGCGGUAAUACGGAGGAUCCGAGCGUUAUCCGGAUUUAUUGGGUUUAAAGGGUGCGUAGGCGGAUUGGAAAGUCAGCGGUGAAAGUUUGCAGCUUAACUGUAAAAUUGCCAUUGAAACUGUCAGGCUUGAGUGCAAAUGAGGUAGGCGGAAUGUGUUGUGUAGCGGUGAAAUGCAUAGAUAUAACACAGAACACCAAUUGCGAAGGCAGCUUACUGGGAUGCAACUGACGCUGAGGCACGAAAGCGUGGGGAUCAAACAGGAUUAGAAACCCUGGUAGUCC